AGGACGAACGCUGGCGGCGUGCUUAACACAUGCAAGUCGAGCGAGGCUCCUCCUUCGGGAGGAUGCCCUAGCGGCGAACGGGUGAGUAACACGUGGGCAACCUGCCCCUAGCACUGGGAUAACCCCGGGAAACCGGGGCUAAUACCGGAUACGACUUCGGAAGGCAUCUUCUGAAGUGGAAAAGGUUACUGGCUAGGGAUGGGCCCGCGGCCUAUCAGCUUGUUGGUGGGGUAAUGGCCCACCAAGGCGACGACGGGUAGCCGGCCUGAGAGGGCGACCGGCCACACUGGGACUGAGACACGGCCCAGACUCCUACGGGAGGCAGCAGUGGGGAAUAUUGUACAAUGGGCGAAAGCCUGAUGCAGCGACGCCGCGUGAGGGAUGACGGCCUUCGGGUUGUAAACCUCUUUCAGCAGGGACGAAGCGAAAGUGACGGUACCUGCAGAGAAGCACCGGCCAACUACGUGCCAGCAGCCGC
rnacentral:rRNA from 1 species